GGCGGCAGUGGUGGUGGUGGGUCAAAACGACCAAGGAAGGGCACUCUUGGCGUGGUAGCAAGCAGAAUCUUCUGCACAUGGUCCCACGACUACGUCCUCAUUGUUGGCUACCAACACCUCCUCUUCUACUGCCAUUACUAGAAAUAGAGACUUAAGAUAAAUGGAAGUGAAAUCAGAGGACUGAAGGCAUAAUUUGGGCCUUUGAGACCAUGUCCCUUACCCCCUGCCAAAGUGUCAAGACUCAC
rnacentral:lncRNA from 1 species